rnacentral:rRNA from 1 species
UACAGAGGGGGCAAGCGUUAUUCGGAAUUAUUGGGCGUAAAGGGCGCGUAGGCGGCGCGGGCAGUCAACGGUGAAAGCUUGGGGCUCAACCCCGAGUCGGCCGUCGAUACUCCCGGGCUGGAGCACUGUAGAGGCAGGUGGAAUUCCGGGUGUAGCGGUGGAAUGCGUAGAGAUCCGGAAGAACAUCAGUGGCGAAGGCGGUCUGCUGGGCCGUUGCUGACGCUGAGGCGCGACAGCGUGGGGAGCAAACAGG